rnacentral:lncRNA from 1 species
AGGGACUACUGCAGUUUCCAUCAACCAAGUUGACACUUCAGGGAUACUUUUGUGACCACCAGGCAUUACAAGGAGUCACUUCUCAAAUCACUAAGUUAUGUUGAUGCUUCCUUCACAAUGUUGACCAAGAAUCCCUUCACCCCUUUUCUUGUUAUCAUUGCAGUCAAACAUUGAUUAUCAUGCACUUUAAUAAAAUAAUAGCCAAAUUGUUAUCUC